UGAGGAAUAUUGGGCAAUGCCCGCAAGGGUGACCCAGCAACGCCGCGUGGAGGAUGAAGGCCGUAAGGUUGUAAACUCCUGUUAGAGGAGAAGAAUAGUACCGAUUGGAUCGGUAUUUGACUGUACCCUCAGAGAAAGCCCCGGCUAACUACGUGCCAGCAGCCGCGGUAAUACGUAGGGGGCAAGCGUUGUCCGGAUUUACUGGGUGUAAAGGGCGCGCAGGCGGGAUAGCAAGUCAGAGGUGAAAUCCUACAGCUUAACUGUAGAACUGCCUUUGAUACUGUUAUUCUUGAGUUCGGGAGAGAGAGACGGAAUUCCAGGUGUAGUGGUGAAAUACGUAGAUAUCUGGAAGAACACCAGUUGCGAAGGCGGUCUCUUGGUCCGAUACUGACGCUGAGGCGCGAAAGCGUGGGGAGCAAAACAGGAUUAGAUACCCCUGGUAGUCCACGCUGUAAACGAUGAAUACUAGGUGUUGGGUUUUUAACUCAGUGCCGCAGCUAACGCAUUAAGUAUUCCACCUGGGAAGUACGAUCGCAAGGUUG
rnacentral:rRNA from 1 species